rnacentral:snoRNA from 1 species
CUCGAAUGAUGAUACAACCGAAUCAUAGCAUAGUUCACACUGAAACUACCGUGUUGAUAAACAUGCAUCUGUCUUUCGCUCCUAUCUGAUCCCU